rnacentral:rRNA from 1 species
UGAGGAACAUGACCUUCGGCGGGGGAUAGCCGGCCCAACGGCCGGGUAAUACCGCGUACGACCACAUGGGGACAUCCCUGAGUGGUGAAAGCAGCAAUGCGCCGAUGGAGUGCCUCGCGGCCUAUCAGCUAGUUGGUGAGGUAACGGCUCACCAAGGCGACGACGGGUAGCUGGUCUGAGAGGAUGGCCAGCCACAUUGGGACUGAGACACGGCCCAGAUCCGUACGGG